GGUAUAGCACUCGGAAACCAGGUGGUAAUCACCGAAUAUUCAGUUUCCCGGGCAUCCGGGUGUUGGAAAGCUUUUUGCGGUCCGGGAUGUCUCGCGGCCUAUCAGCUGUUGGUGGGGUAGUGGCCCACCAAGGCCUUGACGGGUAGCCGGCCUGAGAGGGCGACCGGCCACAUUGGGACUGAGAUACGGCCCCAGACUCCUACGGGAGGCAGUCAGUGGGGAAUAUUGCACAAUGGGCGGAAGCCUGAUGCAGCAACGCCCGGUGCGGGAUGAACGGCCUUCGGGUUGUAAACCGCUUCACCCAUGCGAAGC
rnacentral:rRNA from 1 species